CCCUUAGAUGUUCUGGGCCGCGCGCGCGCUACACUGAUGCAUUCAACAAGUUUUACCUUGGCCGAGAGGCCUGGGAAAUCUUUCAAAUAUGUAUCGUGAUAGGGAUAGAUUAUUGCAAUUAUUAAUCUUGAACGAGGAAUUCCUAGUAAAUGCAGAUCAUCAUUCUGCGUUGAUUACGUCCCUGCCCUUUGUACACACCGCCCGUCGCACCUACCGAUUGAAUGAUCCGGUGAAGCCUCGGGAUUGUGCCCAGAGAACUUUAUUGUGAUUUGGGUGUGAGAACUUGUCUAAACCUUAUCAUUUAGAGGAAGGUGAAGUCGUAACA
rnacentral:rRNA from 1 species